rnacentral:rRNA from 1 species
GAUGAACGCUAGCUACGGGCUUAACACAUGCAAGUCGAGGGGAAACGAUAGAGAAAGCUUGCUUUUUCUAGGCGUCGACCGGCGCACGGGUGAGUAACGCGUAUCCAACCUGCCCAUCACUUGGGGAUAACCUUGCGAAAGUAAGACUAAUACCCAAUGACGUCUCUAGAAGACAUCUGAAAGAGAUUAAAGAUUUAUCGGUGAUGGAUGGGGACGCGUCUGAUUAGCUUGUUGGCGGGGUAACGGCCCACCAAGGCGACGAUCAGUAGGGGUUCUGAGAGGAAGGUCCCCCCACAUUGGAACUGAGACACGGUCCAAACUCCUACGGGAGGCAGCAGUGAGGAAUAUUGGUCAAUGGACGAGAGUCUGAACCAGCCAAGUAGCGUGCAGGAUGACGGCCCUAUGGGUUGUAAACUGCUUUUAUAAGGGAAUAAAGUGAGUCUCGUGAGACUUUUUGCAUGUACCUUAUGAAUAAGGACCGGCUAAUUCCGUG